rnacentral:tRNA from 1 species
GCCCCGUUAGCUCAGUGGUAGAGCGCCCGGCUGUUAACCGGUAGGUCGGUGGUUCAAGUCCACCACGGGGCG